AUGGCUACCACCAGUCAUGCCCUCCUCAUCGCCCUCGUCGUCCUCGCCGGCCUCGCCGACCUGCAGGCCGCCGCGGGGCCCGUUCACGCCGCGGAGCACUCCGCGGCGGCGGCAAUGGCGACGGCGUACCCAAUGGCGGACGAGGCGGAUCCGGACCUGAACGGGAUGAUGCAGUGCAUGUUCGGGUGCUUCACGUCGGUGAUGAGCUGCGCGUUCGGGUGCAUGGGCAAGGGCCCCGACCUGCCGCUCUGCGUCAUCAGCUGCAACCAGAAGAGCAUCGUCUGCAUGAUCCGCUGCGGCCUCACGCCCUCGCCGCCGAGCCCCAAGCCGCCAACGCCACCCGGGCCCAAGCCGGCGCCCCCCAAGCCUGCACCCGGCCCGCCGCCAUACGCCCGUCAAAACACCGAGACCUCCCCUUAG
rnacentral:rRNA from 1 species